rnacentral:rRNA from 1 species
CCUACCAUGGUGGUAACGGGUAACGGGGUGUUAGGGCACGACACCGGAGAGGGAGCCUGAGAAACGGCUACCACAUCCAAGGAUGGCAGCAGGCGCGCAAAUUACCCAAUCCCGACACGGGGAGGUAGUGACAAUAAAUAACAAUACGGGGUUCUUUUGGAUCUCGUAAUUGGAAUGAGUACAAUUUAAAUCUCUUAACGAGGAACAAUUGGAGGGCAAGUCUGGUGCCAGCAGCCGCGGUAAUUCCAGCUCCAAUAGCGUAUAUUAAAGUUGUUGCAGUUAAAAAGCUCGUAGUUGAAUUUCGGGGUUAGUAGGCUGGUCAUGCCUCCGGUAUGUACUGGUCUCACUGAUUCCUCCUUCCUGAUGAACCGUAAUGCCAUUAAUUUGGUGUUGCGGGGAAUUUGGACUGUUACUUUGAAAAAAUUAGAGUGUUUAAAGCAGGCUAACGCUUGAAUACAUUAGCAUGGAAUAAUGAAAUAGGACGUUCGAUCCUAUUUUGUUGGUUUCUAGGAUUGACGUAAUGAUUAAUAGGGAUAGUUGGGGGCAUUAGUAUUCAAUUGUCAGAGGUGAAAUUCUUGGAUUUAUUGAAGACUAACUACUGCGAAAGCAUUUGCCAAGGAUGUUUUCAUUAAUCAAGAACGAAAGUUAGGGGAUCGAAGACGAUCAGAUACCGUCGUAGUCUUAACCAUAAACUAUGCCGACUAGGGAUCGGAUGAUGUUAAUUUUUUAAUGACUCAUUC